AAGCUAUGAUGCCAGUGUGAAAUCAAGACAGAUUUACACUUAUGAACUGUUAUUUGAAUCAAUAAAACUGUUGUAACAGUUUACAUCCAUUUAUUUGAUUAG